rfam:Schistosoma margrebowiei strain Zambia genome assembly, scaffold: SMRZ_contig0003340
AGCUUUCUUGAACCAUACCGAGAUUUUGUCAAACACCAACCCACCAAUGCCGAUAAGACUUCUAAGAUAAGUGAAGUA